rnacentral:lncRNA from 1 species
AGAGCAAAAAAAAUAUAUAGGUCACCGUGCUUGUUUUCAAGAUAUUAGCCAUUGAAAAUUUUGGCGGGAAAAUAUUCUCUCUUGACUUUUCAUAGCUUUAGUAUUGACAAGGUGAAGUUCUCAAAAAACUGUUAAAAAGUAAUUAAAAUUUUAUAAGACUUUUACAAAUGGCUUAUUAUUAUACAUGUAAAAGAUUUACAAAAAGAAAAAUGGGGGUCACCGGGCAAAUUUUUGCAAGGCAUUCAAAUGUAUAAAACCAGAGGAUUCCGAAAAUCUGACAAAAUAUCAAAAACAUGACAAGCCAGCUUCCUUAAAUCUUAAGAGUUAUCUCCCUUUGAUGAUAUUUUUUACUGAAAGGUCGCCAUUGUUGAUGAUGCAGGUGAGAGACAAAGUUUUCUUAGAGCCAUUAGUUAUACCUUUUAAGAGUAUAGGCUGUAGACUGUUCCUUUGAUAUGAUCUUGUUCAUUUAGUAAUAUAUUGCUAUGUCUUCUGUUAAUACCUUAAUGAGGGUCCAGAUGGGGUUUCAGGCACCUGUUUUUUAGCUCACCUGGCCUAAAAGGCCAAGUGAGCUUUUCUCAUCACUUGUCGUCCGUCGUCCGUUGUCUGUCGUCAGUCGUCGUCCGGCGUCGUUACUUUACAAAAUCUUCUCCUCUGAAACUACUGGGCCAAAUUACACCAAACUUGGCCACAAUCAUCAUUGGGAUAUCUAGUUUAAAAAAUGUGUCCGGUGACCUGGCCAACCAUCCAGAUGGCCGCCAUGGCUAAAAAUAAACAUAGGGUAAAAUGCAGUUUUUGGCUAUAACUCAAAAACCAAAGCAUUUAGAGCAAAUCUGACAAAGGUAAAAUUGUUUAUCAGGUCAAAAUCUAUCUGCCCUGAAUUUUCAGAUGAAUCAGAUAACCCGUUGUUGGGUUGCUGGCCCUGAAUUAGUAAUUUUAAGGAAAUUUUGCUCUUUUUGGUUAAUAUCUUGAAUAUUAUUAUAGGUAAAGAUAAACUAUAUACAGCAAUAAUGUUCAGCAAAGUAAGAUUUACAAAUAAGUCAACAUGACUGAAAUGGUUAGUUGACCCCUUUAGGAUUUAUUGCCCUUUAUAGUCAAUUUUUAACCAUUUUUCGUAAAUCUUAGUAAUCUUUUACAAAAAUCUUCUCCUCUGAAACUACUGGGCCUAAUUUAACCAAACUUGGUAACAAUCAUCAUUGGGGUAUAUAGUUUAAAAAAUGUGUCCGAUGACCCGGUCAACCAAGAAUGGCCGCACAAGAUAAAAAUAGAAACAUAGGGGUAAAAUGCAGUUUUUGGCUUAGAACUAAAAAACCAAAGCAUUUAAAGCAAAUCUGACAUUGGUAAAAUUGUUCAUCAGGGCAAGAUCUAUCUGUCCUGAAAUUUUCAGAUGGACCGGACAACCCGCUGUUAGGUUGCUGCCCCUGAAUUGGUAAUUUUAAGGAAAUUUUGCUGUUUUUGGUUAUUAUCUUGAAUAUUAUUAUAGAUAGAGAUCAACUGUAAACAGAAAUAAUGUUCAGCAAAGUCAGAUUUACAAAUAAGUCAACAUGACCGAAAUUUUCAGUUGACCCCUUCAGGAGUUAUUGCCCUUUAUAGUCAAUUUUUAACCAUUUUUCAAAAAUCUUAGUUAUCUUGUACAAAAAUCUUCUCCUCUGAAACUACAGGGCCAAAUUAAAUUUAACUUGGCCACAAUCAUCAUUGGGGUAUCUAGUUUAAAAAAUGUGUCCGUGACCCGCCAUCCAACAAGAUGCCGCAUGGCUAAAAAUAGAACAUAGGAGUAAAAUGCAGUUUUUGGCUUGUAACUCAAUAACCAAAGCAUUUAGAGAAAAUCUGACAAGGGGUAAAUUUGUUUAUCAGGUCAAGAUCUAUUUGCCCUGAAUUUUCAGAUGAAUCAGAUAACCCGUUGUUGGGUUGCUGGCCCUGAAUUAGUAAUUUAAAGGAAAUUUUGCUCUUUUUGGUUAAUAUCUUGAAUAUUAUUAUAGAUAAAGAUAACUAUAAACAGCAAUAAUGUUCAGCAAAGUAAGAUUUACAAAUAAGUCAACAUGACUGAAAUGGUUAGUUGACCCCUUUAGGAUUUAUUGCCCUUUAUAGUCAAUUUUUAACCAUUUUUCGUAAAUCUUAGUAAUCUUUUACAAAAAUCUACUUCUCUGAUACUAUGUGGCCAAAUUAAACCAAACUUGGCCACAAUCAUCAUUUGAGUAUCUAGUUUUAAAUAUGUGUGGCUUGACCCAGUCAACCAACCAAGAUGGCUGCCACGGCUAAAAAUAGAACAUAGGGGUAAAAUUCAGUUUUUGGCUUAGAACUAAAAAACCAAAGCAUUUAAAGCAAAUCUGACAUGAAGUAAAAUUGUUUAUCAGGUCAAGAUCUAUCUGUCCUGAAAUUUUCAGAUGAAUCGAACAACCGUUGUUGGGUUCUGCCUGAAUUGGUAAUUUUAAGGAAAUUUUGCUGUUUUUGGUUAUAAUCUUGAAUAUUAUUAUAAAAAGAGAUAAACUGUAAAAAGCAAUAAAUGUCGGCAAAGUAAGAUCUACAAAUAAGUCAAUAUGACCGAAAUGGUCAGUUGACCCCUUUAGGAGUUAUUGCCCUUUAUAGUCAAUUUUUAACCAUUUUGUAAAUCUUAGUUAUCUUUUUACAAAAUCUUCUCUGAAACUACUGGCCAAGUUAAUUAUAGAUAGAGAUAAUUGUAAGCAGCAAGAAUGUUCAGUAAAGUAAGAUGUACAAACACAUCACCAUCACCAAAACACAAAUUUGUCAUGAAUCCAUCUGCAUCCUUUGUUUAAUAUUCACAUAGACCAAGGUGAGCGACACAGGCUCUUUAGAGCCUCUAGUUUUUGCAUGUGUCUGUUCCAAGUUUGGAGCCUGUAAUACAGUGGUUGUCAUUUUAUGCUGUAUAUUAUUUAUGUUUUUCGUUAAUUGUUUUGAACUUAAAUCUAACUGUUAGUUUUUAUUGAUUGAAUUGUUUUACAUUUGUUGUUUAGGUACAUAAUUUACUAUACAGUAUGGGUUUUGCUCAUUAAUUGAAGGUUGUACAGGAACCUAUAGAUUCAAUUAUUAAAUCAAUUUUUUAUCUGUUGUGAAAAGAUGUCUCAAUGGCAAUCAUACUACAUCUUCAUGUUUAUGUUUCUCAUGCAAUGCAUUGCAGGGGCACAUAACAUACUGAACAUCUGUCUGUCUGUAAGUCUGUUUGUCUCUCAGGUCUUGCAAGUGUUCUCACAUGUUAAAUUUGUGCAGAUUUUUAUGAACAUAUAUCAUAGGUUUAUAUAAGCAAUGUAUUGUAUGAGUUUGUAAAUCAGUGCUGAUCAAGUAUUUAAAAAGAGUUUUGACUUUUGGACAAUGAUGGAAAAUUACAUCUUAGUGCUCUCAUGUGUACAAUUCUUGCCAGAUUUUAAUGAACCUUAUUUUGUUGUUUUAUAUUAGCAAUAUCUUGUGUGAAAUAGAAAAAUCUUUACUGAUCCUCUAUUUUGAAAUCAGUUUCGGUCCUUGGAACUAUUUAUUAUAUAGACAAUUGCCUUGUGAGCUCUGCAGUGUAUAAAAUUCUUGUCAGUAUUUAUAUAUUUUUAUAAUAUAUUGGAAAUAUACAUUAUAUGAAAAAUUACUUUGUAAGUUCUUUCGUGUUUACCAAUUUAGCCAGAAUUUUAUGAAAUUUAUAACAUGGGUUUAUAUUAAGGCUAUUUGAUAUAAGGAUUAAUGGAGAUGGGUUCUUGGAAAAUAUGAUUAGUUAUGUUUUUGAAUAAUGAGCUUGUGAUUUUUAUAUCUAGAGCGUUUUGAAAUGCUCUAAAAAGAUUUAUCUUUUAAUAUUUGUAAUGUUAUUGUUUCUAAAAUAUAAUAGCUCAAGAUCACCAAUUGAGGUUCAUUUGAGCCUGUUUAUGUUUGUGUGUUUUAUUUACUAGUUUUUCUGUGUAUAAUUAGCUGUUUCUAUGUUUUUAAUGAUUUAUAUGUUUUUUAAUUAUUUUUAAAAACAAAUGUUUAUC